UACGGAGGGUGCAAGCGUUACUCGGAAUUACUGGGCGUAAAGGGUGCGUAGGUUGUUUAUUAAGUUAUUUGUGAAAUCCCUGGGCUUAACCUGGGCAGGUCAGAUAAUACUGAUAGACUCGAGUAUGGGAGAGGGUAGUGGAAUUUCCGGUGUAGCGGUGAAAUGCGUAGAGAUCGGAAGGAACACCAGUGGCGAAGGCGGCUACCUGGCCUAAUACUGACACUGAGGCACGAAAGCGUGGGGAUCAAACAGG
rnacentral:rRNA from 1 species